UACGUAGGGUCCGAGCGUUGUCCGGAAUUACUGGGCGUAAAGAGCUCGUAGGUGGUUUGUCGCGUUGUUCGUGAAAACUCACAACUCAAUUGUGGGCGUGCGGGCGAUACGGGCAGACUGGAGUACUGCAGGGGAGACUGGAAUUCCUGGUGUAGCGGUGGAAUGCGCAGAUAUCAGGAGGAACACCGGUGGCGAAGGCGGGUCUCUGGGCAGUGAACUGACGCUGGAGGAGCGAAAAGCGUGGGGAGCGAACAGG
rnacentral:rRNA from 1 species